rnacentral:rRNA from 1 species
AGCAGCCGCGGUAAUUCCAGCUCCAAUAGCGUAUAUUAAAGUUGUUGCAGUUAAAAAGCUCGUAGUUGAAUUUCGGGGUUAGUAGGUUGGUCAUGCCUCUGGUAUGUACUGGUCUCACUGAUUCCUCCUUCCUGAUGAACCGUAAUGCCAUUAAUUUGGUGUUGCGGGGAAUUUGGACUGUUACUUUGAAAAAAUUAGAGUGUUUAAAGCAAGCUAACGCUUGGAUACAUUAGCAUGGAAUAAUGAAAUAGGACGUUCGAUCCUAUUUUGUUGGUUUCUAGGAUUGACGUAAUGAUUAAUAGGGAUAGUUGGGGGCAUUAGUAUUCAAUUGUCAGAGGUGAAAGUCUUGGAUUUAUUGAAGACUAACUACUGCGAAAGCAUUUGCCAAGGAUGUUUUCAUUAAUCAAGAACGAAAGUUAGGGGAUCGAAGACGAUCAGAUACCGUCGUAGUCUUAACCAUAAACUAUGCCGACUAGGGAUCGGAUGAUGUUAAUUUUUUAAUGACUCA